UACGGAGGGAGCUAGCGUUGUUCGGAAUUACUGGGCGUAAAGCGCACGUAGGCGGCGAUUCAAGUCAGAGGUGAAAGCCCGGGGCUCAACCCCGGAACUGCCUUUGAAACUAGAUUGCUAGAAUCCUGGAGAGGUGAGUGGAAUUCCGAGUGUAGAGGUGAAAUCGUAGAUAUUCGGAAGAACACCAGUGGCGAAGGCGACUCACUGGACAGGUAUUGACGCUGAGGUGCGAAAGCGUGGGGAGCAAACGGG
rnacentral:rRNA from 1 species